UGGGUAACCUGCCUCAAAGAGGGGAAUAGCCUCCCGAAAGGGAGAUUAAUACCGCAUAAUAUGUUUAAGUCGCAUGACUUAAACAUCAAAGGAUUUUCUUUUAAGAAAUUCCACUUUGAGAUGGACCCGCGGUGCAUUAGCUAGUUGGUGAGGUAACGGCUCACCAAGGCAACGAUGCGUAGCCGACCUGAGAGGGUGAUCGGCCACAUUGGAACUGAGACACGGUCCAGACUCCGUAGG
rnacentral:rRNA from 1 species